GCCGGAGUAACUCAGUUGGUAGAGUAACCCCUUCGUAAGGGGUAAGUCGCGAGUUCGAAUCUCGCCUCCGGCUCCA
rnacentral:tRNA from 1 species